UACGUAGGGUGCGAGCGUUUGUCCGGAAUUAUUGGGCGUAAAGGGCUCGUAGGCGGUCUGUUGCGUCGGGAGUGAAAACUCAGGGCUUAACCCUGAGCCUGCUUCCGAUACGGGCAGACUAGAGGUAUGCAGGGGAGAACGGAAUUCCUGGUGUAGCGGUGAAAUGCGCAGAUAUCAGGAGGAACACCGGUGGCGAAGGCGGCUCUCUGGGCAUUACCUGACGCUGAGGAGCGAAAGUGUGGGGAGCGAACAGG
rnacentral:rRNA from 1 species